AUUGAACGCUGGCGGUAGGCCUAACACAUGCAAGUCGAACGAGUGGCGGACGGGUGAGGAAUAUCUGGGAAACUGCCCUGUGGUGGGGGAUAACUACUGGAAACAUUCGCUAAUACCGCAUACCAUUGAAUGUGCCCAUGUGGGAUUAGCUAGUGGGUGGGGUAACGGCUCACCUAGGCGACGAUCCGUAGCUGGUCUGAGAGGAUGAUCAGCCACACUGUAACUGAGACACGGUCCAGACUCCUAAGGGAGGCAGCAGUGGGGAAGAUUGGACAAUGGGCGCAAGCCUGAUGCAGCCAUGCCGCGUGGAUGAAGAAGGCCUUCGGGUUGUAAAGUCCUUUUGGUGGGGAAGCGGUACUCAAAGAAGAAGCACCGGCUAACUUCGUGCCAGCAGCCGCGGUAAUUC
rnacentral:rRNA from 1 species